AUUGAACGCUGGCGGCAUGCCUUACACAUGCAAGUCGAACGGUAACAGGUCUUCGGAUGCUGACGAGUGGCGAACGGGUGAGUAAUACAUCGGAACGUGCCUAGUAGUGGGGGAUAACUACUCGAAAGAGUGGCUAAUACCGCAUGAGAUCUACGGAUGAAAGCAGGGGAUCGCGAGACCUUGUGCUACUAGAGCGGCCGAUGGCAGAUUAGGUAGUUGGUGGGAUAAAAGCUUACCAAGCCGACGAUCUGUAGCUGGUCUGAGGGGACGAUCAGCCACACUGGGACUGAGACACGGCCCAGACUCCUACGGGAGGCAGCAGUGGGGAAUUGUGGACAAUGGGCGCAAGCCUGAUCCAGCAAUGCCGCGUGCAGGAUGAAGGCCUUCGGGUUGUAAACUGCUUUUGUACGGAACGAAAAGCCCCGGGUUAAUACCCUGGGGUCAUGACGGUACCGUAAGAAUAAGCACCGGCUAACUACGUGCCAGCCGCCGCAGUAA
rnacentral:rRNA from 1 species